rnacentral:rRNA from 1 species
UACAGAGGGUGCAAGCGUUGUUCGGAAUUAUUGGGCGUAAAGCGCGUGUAGGCGGCUUUGCAAGUCGGGUGUGAAAGCCCUCAGCUCAACUGAGGAAGUGCGCCCGAAACUGCAGAGCUUGAGUACCGGAGAGGGUGGCGGAAUUCCCGGUGUAGAGGUGAAAUUCGUAGAUAUCGGGAGGAACACCAGAGGCGAAGGCGGCGACCUGGAAGGUAACUGACACUGAGCAGCGAAAGCGUGGGUAGCAAACAGG